UUGUGUACACACAUAUAUAUAGUAAUUUUCCAAUAAAGAAUCCCUUAUUUUGUUAAGUUAAAAAAUAAGAAAAAUACACAUCCCAAUGCAUUAUAUUUUAUCUUGUAAUGCAUUGUAAUUUUUAUUUUUUUGUCUUUUAAUUGGUCCUUUUUUUUUUGGUUUUGACCACGAAGUAUGGAGGGCCCUAACUGUAGGAGGCACAUUUAAGCCUGUACCACAACUCAGACUAGAAGUCCCCGCUCGAACCGAGAGGCACAGGUUCUCCCAACAAAGGCGACUUCCCUGCGACUCGAACUGGGGAGCAAACUCAGUCAAGCCACUUAAGGAGACUCUAUUGUCAGUGGAGCCAACACUUUUAAUUGGUCCUUUACCGUAUGUAUUAAUUUUCACAUGAGCUAUGUCGUUCUUUUUAUUCAGAGAGAUAUCAUAUGUGUUCAGUUCUUAUUGGGAGAGUUGUUGGUCUUACUUUAGAGGUCUCCUAAUCAUAUUUUGACACGUGCAACAAUGUUCUCUCUCUCUCUCUCUCUCUCUCUCUCUCUCUCUCUCUCUCUCAUGUGUGUGUGUGUGUGUGUAUGGAUGUAUGUAUGUAUGCAUGUAUGUAUCUAGCGGGCAAGUGCUCACCAUAUAGUGAGCACUUGGACAAGUGGUAGAAAUUUGUUUCUCUGUACAUAAUAUUGAAGUUGUAAAUUAGUUAGAGAUUACCGUGUGACAUAUGGCACCCUGUAAGAUGAACAUGAUCACCCACUAUAUCAUUCAUGUCUAAAUAUAUACAUGUAAUUUUCUUUUUGGAACUAGUGUCGUUAUAUUUAUUGGUGUAAUAUUAACAUAAAUCUAUAAUAAAGUGCACUGUAAUAGUAGCCAAGUUCAUGAAUUAAAUAUGUAAACAAUGAGCGGUGCCGCCUUUAGAGUACUAGAGGCCUUAGGCGAAAUUUUUUAUGAGGUCUUCUUAUAUUUAGCAGCCCUAACACUUAAAUAAACAUAAAAAGUUCAAAAUUCAAUCAAUUUCAACUAUAUCUUAAAUAUCAACAAUCAAUAAAAAUAGAAAGGAAUUUAAAAAAGAA
rnacentral:lncRNA from 1 species